rnacentral:rRNA from 1 species
UACGUAGGGUGCGAGCGUUGUCCGGAAUUAUUGGGCGUAAAGAGCUUGUAGGCGGUUUGUCGCGUCUGCUGUGAAAAUCCGGGGCUCAACCCCGGACUUGCAGUGGGUACGGGCAGACUAGAGUGUGGUAGGGGAGACUGGAAUUCCUGGUGUAGCGGUGAAAUGCGCAGAUAUCGGGAGGAACACCAGUGGCGAAGGCGGUUGCCUGGGGCUUUGCUGACGCUGAUGCGCGAAAGCGUGGGGAGCGAGCCGG